AUUGAACGCUGGCGGCAUGCUUUACACAUGCAAGUCGAACGGUAACAGGCCGCAAGGUGCUGACGAGUGGCGAACGGGUGAGUAAUGCAUCGGAACGUGCCCAGUCGUGGGGGAUAACUACUCGAAAGAGUAGCUAAUACCGCAUACGAUCUAUGGAUGACAGCGGGGGACCGUAAGGCCUCGCGCGAUUGGAGCGGCCGAUGUCAGAUUAGGUAGUUGGUGGGGUAAAGGCUCACCAAGCCAACGAUCUGUAGCUGGUCUGAGAGGACGACCAGCCACACUGGGACUGAGACACGGCCCAGACUCCCACGGGAGGCAGCAGUGGGGAAUUUUGGACAAUGGGCGCAAGCCUGAUCCAGCAAUGCCGCGUGCAGGAAGAAGGCCUUCGGGUUGUAAACUGCUUUUGUACGGAACGAAACGGCUCUGGUUAAUACCCGGGGCUAAUGACGGUACCGUAAGAAUAAGCACCGGCUAACUACGUG
rnacentral:rRNA from 1 species